CCUAUGUCUAAGGGCAAAGGAGAAGCCCUAACAAGAUGAUCAGUGGACCCUUCCCUGUGAGUCUCAGACACUGGAGGACACAGGAUACGACAAGGAGUCCUGGGAUCCAUGUGACCACCAUGCUCUAGGGAAGAAGGUCAGCAAGCUUUUCUGAAAACUUAAAAAAAAAUAAGACAAAGAAUACACUUUUUAUUUUUGGAAAUUCAUCUUGAUUUCCUAGGGCUACUGCAGUGAAUUAUCACAAGCCUGGUGGCUUGAAACAACAGAAAUGUGUUCUCUCACAGUUCCGGAGGUCAGCGUUUUGAAACAAGAUGUCAGCAGGACUGUGUUGUCUCUGAUGCCCCGGGGAGGCCCCUUUGUCUCUUUUAGCUUCUGGAGGCGCCUUAGCUGUGUUAGCCAACUCAGGCUUGUGUGCUCAUUCCUCAAGAGGCCGAACACUGAGAGAUGAAUGUUGGGCUUUGCCCGGGACAAGGUGCUGCACCUCCGCUGUGAACACAAUCAUCACCCACGUCUGUGCAUCAGCCCAUGGUGGGCAGCGGGUUGGAAAAUAUACUAAUAAACGUUUCCACCAUU